CAUAUCAAUAAGCGGAGGAAAAGAAACCAACAGGGAUUGCCCCAGUAACGGCGAGUGAAGCGGCAACAGCUCAAAUUUGAAAUCUGGCCCCAGGCCCGAGUUGUAAUUUGCAGAGGAUGCUUUUGGCGCGGUGCCUUCCGAGUUCCCUGGAACGGGACGCCAUAGAGGGUGAGAGCCCCGUACGGUUGGACACCAAGCCUUUGUAAAGCUCCUUCGACGAGUCGAGUAGUUUGGGAAUGCUGCUCUAAAUGGGAGGUACAUUUCUUCUAAAGCUAAAUAUUGGCCAGAGACCGAUAGCGCACAAGUAGAGUGAUCGAAAGAUGAAAAGCACUUUGAAAAGAGGGUUAAACAGCACGUGAAAUUGUUAAAAGGGAAGCGCUUGUGACCAGACUUGCGUCCGGUGAAUCACCCAGCUCUCGCGGCUGGGGCACUUCGCCGGCACAGGCCAGCAUCAGCUUGCCGUCGGGGACAAAAGCUUCAGGAACGUGGCUCCUCUCGGGGAGUGUUAUAGCCUGUUGCACAAUACCCUUCGGCGGGCUGAGGUACGCGCUCCGCAAGGAUGCUGGCGUAAUGGUCAUCAGCGACCCGUCUUGAAACACGGACCAAGGAGUCAACCUUAUGUGCGAGUGUUUGGGUGUUAAACCCCUACGCGUAAUGAAAGUGAACGCAGGUGAGAGCUUCGGCGCAUCAUCGACCGAUCCUGAUGUUCUCGGAUGGAUUUGAGUAAGAGCAUAUAGGGUUGGACCCGAAAGAAGGUGAACUAUGCGUGUGUAGGGUGAAGCCAGAGGAAACUCUGGUGGAGGCUCGCAGCGGUUCUGACGUGCAAAUCGAUCGUCAAACAUGCGCAUGGGGGCGAAAGACUAAUCGAACCUUCUAGUAGCUGGUUCCGC
rnacentral:rRNA from 1 species